rnacentral:rRNA from 1 species
ACAACGGAGAGUUUGAUCCUGGCUCAGGAUGAACGCUGGCGGCGUGCUUAACACAUGCAAGUCGAACGAACCUUCGGGUUAGUGGCGGACGGGUGAGUAACGCGUGAGAAUCUGCCCUCA